rnacentral:misc_RNA from 1 species
UCCGGGUUGGUCCCGGCCGUCGGGCUAGAAAACCAACUAGCCCCGGGGGUUGCGCUCGUUGCGGGACUUAACCCAACACCUCACGGCACGAGCUGACGACAGCCAUGCAGCACCUGUGCAGGCUCCCGAAGGAGCACCGUGUUUCCACGGUUUCACCCUGCAUGUCAAGUCCUGGUAAGGUUCUUCGCGUUGCGUCGAAUUAAGCCACAUGCUCCGCCGCUUGUGCGGGCCCCCGUCAAUUUCUUUGAGUUUUAACCUUGCGGCCGUACUCCCCAGGCGGAUGACUUAUCGCGUUAGCUGCGCCACCGAAACUCCAUGAGCCCCGACAGCUAGUCACCAUCGUUUACGGCGUGGACUAC